GAUGAACGCUGGCGGCGUGCCUAAUACAUGCAAGUCGAGCGAACGGACGAGAAGCUUGCUUCUCUGAUGUUAGCGGCGGACGGGUGAGUAACACGUGGAUAACCUACCUAUAAGACUGGGAUAACUUCGGGAAACCGGAGCUAAUACCGGAUGAUAUUUUGAACCGCAUGGUUCAAAAGUGAAAGACGGUCUUGCUGUCACUUAUAGAUGGAUCCGCGCUGCAUUAGCUAGUUGGUAAGGUAACGGCUUACCAAGGCAACGAUGCAUAGCCGACCUGAGAGAGUGAUCGGCCACACUGGAACUGAGACACGGUCCAGACUCCUACGGGAAGCAACAGUAGGGAAUCUUCCGCAAUGGGCGAAAGCCUGACGGAGCAACGCCGCGUGAGUGAUGAAGGUCUUCGGAUCGUAAAACUCUGUUAUUAGGGAAGAACAUAUGUGUAAGUAACUGUGCACAUCUUGACGGUACCUAAUCAGAAAGCCACGGCUAACUACGUG
rnacentral:rRNA from 1 species